CUGCGAGUGAAGAGGGAAAAGCUCAAAUUUAAAAUCUGGCAGUGUUUCACUGUCCGAGUUGUAACCUAGAGAAGUGUAACCCGUGCUGGACCGUGUAUAAGUCUCCUGGAAUGGAGCAUCACAGAGGGUGAGAAUCCCGUCUUUGACAUGGACUACCAGNGCAUUGUGGUUGUGCUCUCAACGAGUCGAGUUGUUUGGGAAUGCAGCUCUAAAUGGGUGGUAAAUUCCAUCUAAAGCUAAAUAUUGGCGAGAGACCGAUAGCGAACAAGUACCGUGAGGGAAAGAUGAAAAGAACUUUGGAAAGAGAGUUAAACAGUAUGUGAAAUUGUUGAAAGGGAAACGUUUGAAGUCAGUCGCGUUGGUUGGGGAUCAGCCCGACAUUGUUGGGUGUACUUCCUGGUUGACGGGCCAACAUCAGUUUUGACUGCCAGAAAAAGGCUAAAGGAAUGUGGCACCUUUGGGUGUGUUAUAGCCCUUGGUCGUAUAUGGUGGUUGGGACUGAGGAAAGCAGCGUGCCGAAAGGCCGGGUUUCGACCACGUUCACGCUGAGGAUGUUGGCAUAAUGGCUUUAAGCGACCCGUCUUGAAACACGGACCAAGGAGUCUAACAUGCAUGCGAGUG
rnacentral:rRNA from 1 species